rnacentral:rRNA from 1 species
GAUGAACGCUAGCGGCAGGCUUAAUACAUGCAAGUCGAGGGGCAGCAUAAGUAGCAAUACUUGAUGGCGACCGGCAAACGGGUGCGGAACACGUACGCAACCUUCCUUUAAGUGGGGAAUAGCCCGGGGAAACCCGGAUUAAUACCCCGUAAUAUUAUGAUGUGGCAUCACAUUAUAAUUAUAGAUUCAUCGCUUAAAGAUGGGCGUGCGCCUGAUUAGGUGGUUGGCGGAGUAAUAGCCCACCAAGCCUGCGAUCAGUAACUGGUGUGAGAGCACGACCAGUCACACGGGCACUGAGACACGGGCCCGACUCCUACGGGAGGCAGCAGUAAGGAAUAUUGGUCAAUGGACGCAAGUCUGAACCAGCCAUGCCGCGUGGAGGAUGAAGGUCCUCUGGAUUGUAAACUUCUUUUAUUGGGAAGAAUGUGAUGAUUCUUUAUCACUUGACGGUACCAGAUAGAAUAAGCACCGGCUAACUCCGUGCCAGC